ensembl:lncRNA
GUCAAUCCAAGGGACAGGUUAUACUGAUGUUGAUUGGGUAACAUAUGUCCCUAGAUAAAGAUGAUGAACAGGGGUUACUGUCAAUCCAAGGGACAGGUUAUACUGAUGUUGAUUGGGUAACAUAUGUCCCUAGACACAGAUGAUGAACAGGGGUUACUGUCAAUCCAAGGGACAGGUUAUACUGAUGUUGAUUGGGUAACAUAUGUCCCUAGACAAAGAUGAUGAACAGGGGUUACUGUCAAUCCAAGGGACAGGUUAUACUGAUGUUGAUUGGGUAACAUAUGUCCCUAGAUAAAGAUGAUGAACAGGGGUUACUGUCAAUCCAAGGGACAGGUUAUACUGAUGUUGAUUGGGUAACAUAUGUCCCUAGAUAAAGAUGAUGAAGUUCACAUCACUUCACUUCCAUUUGUCUCUGUUAUUUCUUGUAUUGUCAACAUUCACGACUAAGGAAGUAGGCCUUUAUAUUUCACUGUUGGCCAGUUAAAGGUCCAAAGCAGCUGUUUUUAUCUCAAUAUCAAAUUAUUUCUGGGUAACAUUUAAGUGCCUUACAGUGAUUGUUUUUAAUUAAAUGGUUAAAAAAAUUUGGGGACAAAAUUUGCUAAUAGUUUGUUAGCAAAGAGACAUUUCUCAAGCAAGAAUUUAUCUGGAACUGUCUGGGUGUGGUCAGAGUGGGGAGGAGACAACGGAAAACUAGCUGUUAUUGGCAGAGAGGUUUUGGAACUCUCUGUCUUAUUGGUCUAUUAACUCAUGUAUCACCCGGUGAUGUCACCAGGCAGGCCAACACUCCUUCCCACCAAAACAGACUGAUAUUUCAGGAGGUCUUUUCAAACAGCUCACUACACUAAACGGACAUGAUCAUCAUUUACAACCUCAUAGUGUUGAAAUAUAUAUAUGUAAAAUACAGGAAACACACAUAUUUUAGUUGUUGACUGUACUACACCUUUAAAUCCUUACCAGGAAGCAUUUAUGUAAACACACUGUACCUAGUGAGAAACCUGAACCAUUACACCACAUAUCAGUAGGAUAUGA